rnacentral:rRNA from 1 species
AGUAACACGUGGAUAACCUACCUAUAAGACUGGGAUAACUUCGGGAAACCGGAGCUAAUACCGGAUGAUAUUUUGAACCGCAUGGUUCAAAAGUGAAAGACGGUCUUGCUGUCACUUAUAGAUGGAUCCGCGCUGCAUUAGCUAGUUGGUAAGGUAACUGCUUACCAAGGCAACGAUGCAUAGCCGACCUGAGAGGGUGAUCGGCCACACUGUAACUGAGACACGGUCCAG